AAGUGUACCCGAAUCUGAUAUCCUAUCAUCUGAAAAAGGAUGCAGUUUCUGGUAUACUUCA
ensembl:miRNA mir-2208.1 ncRNA